rnacentral:rRNA from 1 species
UACGUAGGCAGCGAGCGUUGUUCGGAAUUACUGGGCGUAAAGAGUGUGUAGGCGGUGCUCUAAGUUCGGUGUGAAAUCUCCUGGCUCAACUGGGAGGGUGCGCCGGAAACUGGAGUGCUUGAGCGUGGGAGAGGAAAGCGGAAUUCCUGGUGUAGCGGUGAAAUGCGUAGAUAUCAGGAGGAACACCUGUGGUGUAGACGGCUUUCUGGACCAUAGCUGACGCUGAUGCACGAAAGCUGGGGGAGCAAACAGG